CAGCAGCCACGGUAAAACGUAGGUGGCAAGCGUUGUCCGGAAUUAUUGGGCGUAAAGGGCUCGCAGGCGGUUUCUUAAGUCUGAUGUGAAAGCCCCCGGCUCAACCGGGGAGGGUCAUUGGAAACUGGGAAACUUGAGUGCAGAAGAGGAGAGUGGAAUUCCACGUGUAGCGGUGAAAUGCGUAGAGAUGUGGAGGAACACCAGUGGCGAAGGCGACUCUCUGGUCUGUAACUGACGCUGAGGAGCGAAAGCGUGGGGGGCGAACAGGAUUAGAUACCCGCGUAGUCCCUGUCUCUUAUAU
rnacentral:rRNA from 1 species